rnacentral:lncRNA from 1 species
UCAAGACACAAGACUGUCUGAGGAGAAGGGCAGGAAGACACAAAACUUUAUGGUAGUUCAUAAAUGCAAAGCCUUAGGAAAGGAGCGGGUGGCAGACCCUGAGAACAAACCCUAGAAGCAUCCAUCAGAGCUGCAGCUCCUGUGAGCGAAGGUCACUGCUGUCCCCACCAGUUUACAGGCCGUGCAGCGUUCUUUCAGAGAAAUACCUGAGCCACGUUUCCCUGGCAGCAUCCUGCUCUCACUGUCUGCUGUCUCGAGCUCCUCCAGCCUCUCCUGGCUCUGCUCCUGCCCUCUGCAUCUCCCGAGUGCUGGUGUGGAGCACUCAUGCAAAGCUGCCUUUUAGAUGCAACUUCACACGUCUCUCCCUGUUGAGGACUACUCCAUGGGUCCUGAGGUUUGCUUUUUCCUCAUCAGUUGCUUCCUCGUUUUGUCCGACUGCUACAACUUUCUCUCUCUUUCUCUCUUUUUUGCAUUUACACUAUGUGAAGCCCGAUACCUGGCUGUAAGCUGAGAAAGCAACACGCUACCUGAUGUUUGCAAUCAAUGUGUCUGUGCUUU